CAGAUAGAACUUCAUGAUCUUUUGCAGAGCGUUCUGCCAUUGACUCCUGUGUUUCUGUUAGUCUUGCCAACUUCCAAUUCAUUAAUUAUUUAUAUUUGCCAGAAUAAUUUUUAAUUCAAUUUGCGUUACUAUCUCCAAAUAAUGUUUUUUCCUCCUGGACUGGGUCACAAUUCGUCAGAUGCUCCACACAGGAACCUCUGGCACAGAUAAGAUGUGCUUGAUAUGUUCUGCAAGAUAAAUUGUACCAUUGUGGCCAUUAUGCUGUUUUGGCCUAGCUGUGCUGCCAGAAAACCAUCCAAAACAAAUCAUGGCAAUAUAAAUCAUCCCCA